CCUACGGGAGGCAGCAGUGGGGAAUAUUGCACAAUGGGGAAAACCCUGAUGCAGCGACGCCGCGUGAGUGAAGAAGUAUUUCGGUAUGUAAAGCUUCAUCAGCAGGGAAGUAAAUGACGGUACCUGAUCAAGAAGCCCCGGCUAACUACGUGACAGCAGCCGCGGUAAUACGUAGGGGGCAAGCGUUAUCCGGAUUUACUGGGUGUAAAGGGAGCGUAGACGGCAGCACAAGUCAGGAGUGAAAGGCCGGGGCUUAACUCCGGAACUGCAUUGGAAACUGUGCAGCUAGAGUGCAGGAGAGGUAAGUGGAAUUCGUAGUGUAGCGGUGAAAUGCGUAGAUAUUAGGAGGAACACCAGUGGCGAAGGCGGCUUACUGGACUGUAACUGACGUUGAUGCUCGAAAGUGUGGGGAGCAAACAGGAUUAGAUACCCCGGUAGUC
rnacentral:rRNA from 1 species